rnacentral:rRNA from 1 species
AGAGUUUGAUCCUGGCUCAGGACGAACGCUGGCGGCGUGCUUAACACAUGCAAGUCGAACGGAAAGGCCCUUCGGGGUACUCGAGUGGCGAACGGGUGAGUAACACGUGGGUGAUCUGCCCUGCACUCUGGGAUAAGCCUGGGAAACUGGGUCUAAUACCGGAUAGGACCGCAUGCUUCAUGGUGUGUGGUGCAAAGCUUUUGCGGUGUGGGAUGGGCCCGCGGCCUAUCAGCUUGUUGGUGGGGUAAUGGCCUACCAAGGCGACGACGGGUAGCCGGCCUGAGAGGGUGACCGGCCACACUGGGACUGAGAUACGGCCCAGACUCCUACGGGAGGCAGCAGUGGGGAAUAUUGCACAAUGGGCGCAAGCCUGAUGCAGCGACGCCGCGUGAGGGAUGACGGCCUUCGGGUUGUAAACCUCUUUCAAUAGGGACGAAGCGCAAGUGACGGUACCUAUAGAAGAAGCACCGGCCAACUACGUGCCAGCAGCCGCGGUAAUACGUAGGGUGCGAGCGUUGUCCGGAAUUACUGGGCGUAAAGAGCUCGUAGGUGGUUUGUCGCGUUGUUCGUGAAAACUCACAGCUUAACCGUGGGCGUGCGGGCGAUACGGGCAGACUAGAGUACUGCAGGGGAGACUGGAAUUCCUGGUGUAGCGGUGGAAUGCGCAGAUAUCAGGAGGAACACCGGUGGCGAAGGCGGGUCUCUGGGCAGUAACUGACGCUGAGGAGCGAAAGCGUGGGGAGCGAACAGGAUUAGAUACCCUGGUAGUCCAA